rnacentral:rRNA from 1 species
GAUCCUGGCUCGGGAUGAACGCUAGCUACAGGCUUAACACAUGCAAGUCGAGGGGCAGCAUGGUCUUAGCUUGCUAAGGCCGAUGGCGACUGGCGCACGGGUGAGUAACACGUAUCCAACCUGCCGUCUACUCUUGGACAGCCUUCUGAAAGGAAGAUUAAUACAAGAUGGCAUCAUGAGUUCACAUGUUCACAUGAUUAAAGGUAUUCCGGUAGACGAUAGGGA